GGAUCUUCUCAUGAAUGUGCAGGAUCUGAGCUAUCCACAGAAGAAAGAAAAUACCACAGCUGCAGCAGAGACACUGAGGUGGCUGUUGUUUGCACUGAAACCAAUGACUUGGGCACUGAAACAAAGUGACCCCAUAGAAAUAAAGAACUGCUGCCCAGCGAGUGACAGGGGCAGAAUUUGGUCCUCAGAAAGAAAAAGUGCAGCACAGAGAUGUUGAAAGGUCAUUACAUUACAAAUUGGAAGUUGCUCAGUAGUUAUCCCAAUUUCUGUUCCUUCUUCAAACAGAAGUCCAACAAAAUCUGAGCUCCCAACAACAAAUGCCAUCCUCUGGGAAAAAUCUCCUCCUGCUGCCUCCAAACAACCCACAGGUUUGACAGGAAAUCAAUCACUAGCACUGCAAGAGCAUUUUAAAGAAAAU
rnacentral:lncRNA from 1 species